rnacentral:lncRNA from 1 species
AACUUUUGAUCUGCCUUCUUGGAAGAACUUGGAGGAAAGAUUUAGAGGGAUUGAAGAGGAUUUAUAUCUGAUCUAAAGACUCUUAUCAGGGACCCCUAAACCUAAUGACGUGAUGGACUUAGAGGAGGAAGAAGUCGGCUAGAUUGAAUACAGAAUUUUUCCAUUCAUGAACUAGGGUUCCUCUCUUUUCUUUCUCCUUUUUUUUUCUUUUUUCUCUCUC